rnacentral:misc_RNA from 1 species
AUAACUACUGUGAAGUAGAAUUUACCUAUGAAAAGAAAUAAACAAUGAGUAGGUUGGUCAGUUGACUAGGGAAGCUUGAUGCAAUCACUCUUCAUGCAUUUUGACAAGGAUUCUGCUUCAAUUUGACCAACUGUAUAUGUGCCUCAAUUUUUUAUUUUAAAAGUCUAUGUUUGACUCAUACGUCCCACAGACAGGAUAUUACACAUUAUAAAGGCUGGUGUUUAUUUGAUUCCCUACAGGUUUCAAAGUAACUUGGUUUCCUA